rnacentral:rRNA from 1 species
UACGUAGGGUCCGAGCGUUGUCCGGAAUUAUUGGGCGUAAAGAGCUCGUAGGCGGUCUGUCGCGUCGGCUGUGAAAACUCGGGGCUCAACUCCGAGCUUGCAGUCGAUACGGGCAGGCUAGAGUGCGGUAGGGGAGACUGGAAUUCCUGGUGUAGCGGUGGAAUGCGCAGAUAUCAGGAGGAACACCGAUGGCGAAGGCAGGUCUCUGGGCCGCAACUGACGCUGAGGAGCGAAAGCAUGGGGAGCGAACAGG